GUAAACAGGGACAGAAACACCUUCUCAUACCCAGGCUGCCUCAUCCAGCAUCUCCCACAGUUUUAUCUACCAUCUCCAUCCAUCCUGGCCCCUCACCCUGAUUUCCCAUCGUUUCAGGAAUUAAAAGGGAGCAGGCUUCAACUUCACCACAAGGAAUGUUCUGAGACAGUCCACUCAGUGUUCAUACCAUAUUCUGACUCAAUGUGCAUUUAGCAUUGUGCUAGAAGAAGUAAGAAAAAGAUAUAGUCCCUGCCUACAGAUCUUCCUGCUGUAGACAUUUAAAACAUAGGUCUUCCAGGACCCUGAAACAGUGACCAAAGGAAAGUGCCGCUCCUUCCCAGAACACUGGUCUUCAAACAGAAGCAAGACUUGUCAGAGAUGGAGAAGGUAGGACCUACCUAGGCACCCAGGGCUGAAUGCACAGGUGAUAGAUCCAAGAAGCCAUGGGUCUCAAGGAAAAGGGGCACUACUGCCUCAAUUUGAUAGUGCUGAGAUUUCUCUAAACCAUCAAUUAGGUUCCUUAAAGCCUGGGCUGGAGGUGGAGGGAGGGCAGAGAAGGAGGGCAGCAGGUCCCUAAGGAGACAGGAUCUGUACUAACUAUAUGAACACAGAGCAUUGAAGUGGGAGCAGAAAGAGUGCCCCAGAUCCCAGGAAGAACUCCCCCUAAGGAAACCUACAGAUCCCUAUAUCUCCAGGAGGCAGGUCCUGUGUUCCAGGCACUGUGCUGGGGAGAGGGUCUGCUCCCAGAGUCCAUUCCAGGAUCUGCCAGUGCCCCCAGCGACACCCCAGCCCCCAGGUGCAGCCCCUCCAGGUGGACUUGUUCUCAGUUCCUGCUGGCACCCAAGAGUCUGCCAUCACCACUGCUGCCCUUGCUACUGUGCCCUCAGCCCAGCCUCCUCCACCAAGGACAAAGUGGCUUUGAAGCCUCCACGUGUGUUUCUGCUGGCUACCUAGGCCAGGACCCUGUCUCUGCCGCCACCAUGUCUGCAGUCAGGCCACAAUCAUUGUGUUAGAACCUCAAUGGUCAACAUGGCCCUGGGUCUCAUCUGCCUGGGAGAAGAAGACAACGAGCAGGGCAACCUAUAGGUGGGCCUGGUGUGCCAAGAAGUCCAGAACAGUUAUAGCCUCUGGAGGCAGAGGCCAUCCACAGAGGAGCCAGGCUGGCCGAGGCCCCUGGGGGCUAUGGAGUUGCCCACUGCAGUGCCCCUGAGCCUCCUGAGUGUCCCCAGCAGCUGGGGCAAGGGGGAGAUGUGGGUGGGGGUGCUGGAGCUG
rnacentral:lncRNA from 12 species